rnacentral:rRNA from 1 species
AUGCCGAAUGGCCCGAUAAUCAUCGACCGGGCGCAAAUGCCCCUCGACUCGCCGCCGGCGGAGGUCGAGAUCGUCGCCUCCUCCUCUCCGCGUGUGACGCCGCAGCCCCCUGCGGCGAGCGAUGGCGCUUCCGACGGUGGUGAGGGGGAUCCGGAUGAGUUCAAGAGAUUCACUGAUGAAAAACUGGAGGAAAGGAUCAAGCACUGGAGCGGUAAUCGGACCCUAUCCGUACCUGACGGCGGCGAGAAGAUGCGUAAGUUACUCUGCAGGAUGAAGAAAGAGCUUGAUCGCCGCCGCGCUGCCGGGCCGAGGAAGGUUGACACGGGUCGGAGACAGUCAGCGCAGACACCCAGUGGGGAUGAUCCUUACACCUUCAAGGAAAGUGACCACAUCAACUGCAGCAGGUUUUCUGAUAAAUGGCAUUGCCAUGGCAAGGGCGAAGCAGCAUUCACUGAUGAGCUAGGCCAUUUUAACACAAGCAAACGUGCUUCCCAAGUGAUAGAUCGGAAAAGAGCAACGAACACGGUGAAUCGUCAACCAAAAAGGCGUAGAGUUUCUCAAAAUAUUGCUGACAAGAAACAUUUAGAUACAAAUGGUAGUAAGUUAGGUAUGAAGAUCUGUACAGAAGAUCAACAGAAAAAUUACUCUGCUGAGCCAAAGGGCAUGUCCACUAAACUACGCACAGAAGAUCGCACUUCUGGGAGUUCGACCAAGAGGUGGGACCAUUCCAAGAAUGAUACCUACCAAUACCGGAGGUUAAAUAGAAGAAACGAAAAGAAGGAAGUAGUUCACUUGGAUGACGAGGAUACAGUACUCUUGGAUGACGAGGAUACAGAACCUUCUAAAUCAGUUGAUGUCGAGAUUGUUAAUAUACGGGACAAAUCAAAGAUCUACUAUCCAUCGAGGACUGAUCCGGAAACUGUCGAGCUGACAUAUUCUGACAUAAAAUGUCUUGACCCUGAAGUUUUUUUAAAAUCACCUGUCGUAAACUUUUACAUCCAGUACCUAAAAAAUUCCAGGCCUUGUGACGACUUGUACAUCUUCAAUACAUAUGUCUAUAGCAAACUUGAAAAAGCGUUAUCCAGGAAGGGUGAGUGUGGCUCGCAGUUUAGCAAGUUAAGGCGAUGGUGGAGAAGUGUAGAUAUUUUUAAGACACCAUACCUCCUUUUGCCAAUUCAUGGACAGGUGCAUUGGAGCUUGGCCAUUAUCUUCAUGCCCGCAAAAGAGAUAGAAUCUGGGCCAAGGGUGUUUCACUUGGACUCUCUAGGACUACAUUCCAGUGACAAGGUUUUUGGCGUGAUUGAGAGCUAUCUCAUAGGAGAAUGGCGCCAUCUACAGAAGGAUUCUUCUUAUGAUAUUCCUUUUUCAGACACAAUAUGGAGACAUCUUUCAACAAAUAUACAUAAGGAAAAAAUCGAGGUGCCCCAGCAGCAAAAUGACUUUGACUGUGGUGUCUUUAUGCUUUACUACAUCGAUAAGUUUAUUCAAGAGGCACCAGAUGAUUUGACAGGAGUGCGGCCUUGCAAGUUUGGACGCAAGUGGUUCAGGCCUGUACAAGCUUCGGGGCUGCGGAAGCGAAUACGAGAUCUGCUGUUCGAUAUAUUUCAGAACGCUCCACCUAGUGAUAGAAAUUUAGUGUCGCAUGCCGAUGAUGACUCGGAAGAUGAAGAAGAUAAGGGCAAGGACACAAUCGUGAUCGUUUGA